rnacentral:rRNA from 1 species
AGAGUUUGAUCCUGGCUCAGGAUGAACGCUAGCGGCAGGCCUAAUACAUGCAAGUCGGACGGGAUUUGGACUUCGGUUCAAUGAGAGUGGCGCACGGGUGCGUAACACGUAUGUAACCUACCUUUAUCAGGGGGAUAGCCUCUCGAAAGAGAGAUUAACACCGCAUAACAUCAAUUAAUAGCAUUGUUGAUUGAUCAAAUAUUUAUAGGAUAAAGAUGGGCAUGCGGGACAUUAGCUAGUUGGCGGGGUAACGGCCCACCAAGGCGACGAUGUCUAGGGGAUCUGAGAGGAUGACCCCCCACACUGGUACUGAGACACGGACCAGACUCCUACGGGAGGCAGCAGUAAGGAAUAUUGGUCAAUGGGCGCAAGCCUGAACCAGCCAUGCCGCGUGCAGGAAGACGGCCCUACGGGUUGUAAACUGCUUUUGUACCGGAAUAAACCUUGAUACGAGUAUCGAGCUGAAUGUACGGUAAGAAUAAGGAUCGGCUAACUCCGUGCCAGCAGCCGCGGUAAUACGGAGGAUCCAAGCGUUAUCCGGAUUUAUUGGGUUUAAAGGGUGCGUAGGUGGCCUAUUAAGUCAGGGGUGAAAGACGGUAGCUUAACUAUCGCAGUGCCUUUGAUACUGAGGGGCUUGAAUACAGUUGAAGUAGGCGGAAUGUGACAAGUAGCGGUGAAAUGCAUAGAUAUGUCACAGAACACCGAUUGCGAAGGCAGCUUACUAAAGUGUGAUUGACACUGAGGCACGAAAGCGUGGGGAUCAAACAGGAUUAGAUACCCUGGUAGUCC